rnacentral:rRNA from 1 species
AUUGAACGCUGGCGGCAGGCCUAACACAUGCAAGUCGAACGAGUGGCGGACGGGUGAGUAAUGUCUGGGAAACUGCCUGAUGGAGGGGGAUAACUACUGGAAACGGUAGCUAAUACCGCAUACCAUCAGAUGUGCCCCGAUGGGAUUAGCUUGUUGGUGGGGUAACGGCUCACCAAGGCGGCGAUCCCUAGCUGGUCUGAGAGGAUGACGAGCCACACUGGAACUGGGACACGGUCCAAAGUCCUACGGUAGGCAGCAGUGGGGAAGAUUGCACAAUGGGCGAAAGCCUGAUGCAGCCAUGCCGCGUGUAGGAAGAAGGCCUUCGGGUUGUAAAGUACUUUCAGCUGGGAGGCGUUACCCGCAGAAGAAGCACCGGCUAACUCCGUGCCAGCAGCCGCGGUAAUAC